GCUCAGUAACACGUGGACAAUUUACCCUUGGGACCAGGAUAACCCCUGGGAAACUGGGGCUAAUACUGGAUGGAGCAUCGGCUGCUGGAAUGCGCGAUGCUCGAAAGCUGAGGCGCCCAAGGAUAGGUCUGCGGCUGAUUAGGUUGUUGUUGAUGUAACGGAUCAACAAGCCCGCGAUCGGUACGGGUUGUGAGAGCAAUAGCCCGGAGAUGGGUUCUGAGAAAAGAACCCAGGUCCUACGGGACGCAUCAGGCGCGAAAACUUUACAAUGUGCGAAAGCGCGAUAAGGGAACUCUGAGUGCCUCCUAAGGAGGCUGUUCAGGUGUCUAAAAAGCAUCUGGAGUAAGGGCUGGGCAAGACCGGUGCCAGCCGCCGCGGUAACACCGGCAGCUCAAGUGGUAGCCAUGCUUAUUGGGUCUAAAGCGUCCGUAGCCGGCUGAGUAAGUUCCUUGGGAAAUUUGACCGCUUAACGGUUAAGCUAUCAGGGAAUACUGCUUGGCUUGGGACCGGGAGAGGUCAGAGGUACUCCAGGGGUAGGGGUGAAAUCUAUUAAUCCUUGGGGGACCACCGGUAGCGAAGGCGUCUGACCAGACCGGGUCCGACGGUGAGGGACGAAGGCUGGGGUCGCGAACCGGAUUAGAUACCCGGGUAGUCCCAGCUGUAAACGAUGCGGGCCAGGUGUUGGCAUUACUGCGAGUGAUGUCAGUGCCAAAGGGAAGCCGUUAAGCCCGCCAUCUGGGGAGUACGGUGCGCAAGGCUGAAACUUAAAGAAAUUGGCGGGGGAGCACCACAACGGGUGGAGC
rnacentral:rRNA from 1 species